rnacentral:rRNA from 1 species
CCUACGGGAGGCAGCAGUGAGGAAUAUUGGUCAAUGGGCGUAAGCCUGAACCAGCCAAGUAGCGUGAGGGAUGAAGGUUCUAUGGAUCGUAAACCUCUUUUAUAAGGGAAUAAAGUGCGGGACGUGUCCCGUUUUGUAUGUACUUUAUGAAUAAGGAUCGGCUAACUCCGUGCCAGCAGCCGCGGUAAUACGGAGGAUCCGAGCGUUAUCCGGAUUUAUUGGGUUUAAAGGGUGCGUAGGCGGCCUUUUAAGUCAGCGGUGAAAGUCUGUGGCUCAACCAUAGAAUUGCAGUUGAGACUGGGAGGCUUGAGUAUGUUUGAGGCAGGCGGAAUGCGUGGUGUAGCGGUGAAAUGCUUAGAUAUCACGCAGAACCCCGAUUGCGAAGGCAGCCUACCAAGCCAUGACUGACGCUGAUGCACGAAAGCGUGGGGAUCAAACAGGAUUAGAUACCCUUGUAGUC